AUGUAACCCACAUAAAAAGAGCUGCAUCUAUAACUAAGCCGAAAUUUUAAAUUCCAAUUGGGAGCGUGCCCGUGAAGGCAUCGCGACGCGUCAUGGCGCGUGUCUGCACAUGCCUGUUGUGACCAAUCACAUUCGCGAGGCACCGAUAUAUGCCUUCCGGGUUGUCGUCUCGAAAAGAUGCGGGGGAGAGGCGUUAGCGGAUGGAAGCAACAGUGCAGGCUAGUGGUGCCCUGGAGAGACCACAGCGACACCACUACUUUGGAUGGCGAGCUAGGCCCAACGAGCCAGAACCCCAGCUACAACUUCCUGCGGUCUGGUAGGAGGCUGCUGCGGCCUACACUCUCCCCUCUUGGUUUAGUCCCCUAAAUCUCACUUCUGAGAUUUCAGCUUUGGAAUCUUAGUGCUGAUCAUCCUACUUCAAAUUUCAACCUGUCUAGACUGUCAUACGCGUUGGACUUAUAUCACUCAUGAAAUAAACUUUAUGGACAUUGUUGCCAGAGGUUGGACGAGGUUCCUGCACUGCCGUGCAGCGGAUAUUUUACAAGCUUG
ensembl:lncRNA